rnacentral:misc_RNA from 1 species
UCCCACUUUCAUGGGCAGUCCCACCAGAGUUCCCACCCGAAGUGCUGGCAACUGGUGGUAGGGGUUGCGCUCGUUGCCGGACUUAACCCAACAUCUCACGACACGAGCUGACGACAGCCAUGCACCACCUGUACACCUCGGACGAACCCGAUGCAUCUCUGCAUCUGAACGGUGUAUGUCAAGCCCAGGUAAGGUUCUUCGCGUU